rnacentral:lncRNA from 1 species
AGUGGGUGGUAGCUCACUGUGUCCUUGAAGGAGAGGUUGUUGCCACAUCUUGAGAUAGACCAACUUCUCCAAAGGGAAAGAGCUUUCGCUUUUUCAAAAUACUUGAGUUGGGUCAGGGAGAUAGCUCAGUCGGUAAAAUGCUUGCCUCGCAACCACGAGGACCGGGGUUUGAUUCCCAGAAACAAUAUAAAGAAGGCCAGAUAUGUUGGCCUGCACUUGUAAUCCCAAUGCUAGACAAGGGCAUAUGCCUGGGGCUCAUGGUCAGCCAGCCCAAACUACUUGGUGGGCUUGUGGCCAAUAACAGACCCCACCUCAAAACAGUGUGGACAACUCCUGAGUUAAGGAAAUCUAUUAGGUUAGAGGAUGCUGACCAGCCCCAUGAGGGGACAGAACAGGAAGUUGAUGACAUUGCAGCAGGCAAGGCAUUCACAAGCCAGAUAAGACCAGAAUCUGUCAAGCUUCUGCUUGCCCCCUCCCUCCCGGCUCUUAACAGCCAGUGGAAAAGGCUCCUUCUGGCUGCUGAAUUGCAACUGAGCCUAUGUAACAAAGAGGUGCUUCCCAGGAUGCCAGGAAAUUGCAGGAAAAAUGGUCUCUCCACCUUUGGAAAGAGUUCAUCUGGCCCUGCUGCUGCCUUCCUUCUAGAGGCCAAGCUCUUGUUAGAGACACUGCAAUUUAUUCCCUUGCUGAGGACUAUGAUGCAGGAAAUGGAGAAGGAGAAGGACUCUGAGCAUUUGGUUGGCUGCUGGGACAGGUGAGCUUCUGAGAUGGUGAUCUCAUUUGUCUUGCAAAUACCACGCACACACUACCCAGAAGAGGGGCUGGGAGACAAGCCACCAAGCCUCGGUGACUGCAGAUGGAAUUGUUUCUAAACAGAAUGUUUUUCAAAGCUUCUCUUGAAGCAUUAGCUGUGCCUGCAAAAUGAAUGACACAAUGUAUUUCGUACAAGUAAUAAAAUAUGUGAUUUGAAUAACUAC